GAGUAAAUUCCCUUUUUUUUAUCGGGUAUAACUUUUAUCUAAGAAAUCUUCAUAUGGGACAUUGAUAUAAACAUCUUUAUGGAUAAGCAUGUGCUUCGUGUUCUUUUUGUUUGUUGAUUUUUCUUUUAUUGCUUGUUGCCCCUUUUUUUAUAGCAUACUAUUUCUUGCAAAUUCCCUAAUACUCAUUAAUUCAGUGUACCUGCAUCUUACUAACUUUUUCCUCUGGAAUUUUUUUUUU
rnacentral:misc_RNA from 1 species